rnacentral:rRNA from 1 species
AUUGAACGCUAGCGGGAUGCUUUACACAUGCAAGUCGAACGAGUGGCGGACGGGUGAGUAAUGUCUGGGAACUGCCUGAUGAGGGGGGAUAACUACUGGCAAAGGUAGCUAAUACCGCAUACUAUCGGAUAACCCAUAUGGGAUUAGCUAGUAGGUGAGGUAAUGGCUCACCUAGGCGACGAUCCCUAGCUGGUCUGAGAGGAUGAUCAGCCACACGGGGACUGAGACACGGCCCAGACUCCUACGGAGGCAGCAGUGGGGAAUAUUGCACAAUGGGCGCAAGCCUGAUGCAGCCAUGCCGCGUGUAUGAAGAAGGCCCUAGGGUUGUAAAGUACUUUCAGUCGGGAGGCGUUACCGACAGAAGAAGCACCGGCUAACUCCGUGCCAGCAGCCGCGGUAAUUC